rnacentral:lncRNA from 10 species
UGCAAUCACCAAGCAGAAAAGAUAUCCGGAUGUUCUAUUAAGAAAAGAAGCACCUGCUGAUUUUCUGCUUUAUCAAGAAACACCUGCUGCUUUAUCAAGAGUGAGUAGAGAUCUAGCCUUCCCACUGGACUUUGCCCUGUAAGUCCUUCUGGAGUGGUACAGAAAAGCUUCAGAAGCUUUUUCCAAGAGGAAUCUUGUGCGACUCUGGCUAUAAACAAUGCUCCUCUGGACCCAGGUACCAAUGGGAAACACACAGUAGGAGACAUAAUUUAUCUUCCCAUUUGUGCUCCAACACCCUGAGGAAGGACUGCACCUACAGUUUUGCAGUUAUAGCAGCCUGAGCAUUGUGCUAGAGAAAGACAUGUUCUUCCCAGAGCGACAGUGGUAGCUGGCCCAGCAGAGCACCAGUGGAGACAGCAAAGACACGGUGCAGCCUGGUAAAAGAACAUUGGCUUGAAGCAUGUCCAUCCUCAACACUGAGACAUAUUGAACCCGUAAGAAUGCUUAAGGAGAAAUUCUCAGGGACACCAGUUCCUACACUUAUGAUGGUGAGAGGUAAAGAAAAAUGUGAAAUUUGGGUGCAAAUGCUAAUAUUAGUGUAUCUGUGCCUUAGAGUGGUGGUCUUUGGGAUUCUUCAGGCUCUUUAUUUAGUAGCUUUAAUGCUAGCUUGAAUUUCCUACUCUUACUUUUUUGACCUCAUUUUUUUUACAUUAAAACAUUUAAUAUUGUGACAUUAUUAUACACUUUUUUCUUAAGCGAAAUUAAAUAUUUUCUUAGAAUAAGAUAGUACUAAAUAAAUGAUUAAGUGAUUGAUAUUUUACAGUAGAAGCUCAAAUGAGCAAUAAACAUGUAAUGCAAAAGAAGUUUGUGGUAGACCAAGUGAUAACCACCCAAAGAUGUCCACUUCCUGCUUGCCUGUAUCUAUGAAUAUGUUAUCUUACAUGGCAAAAGGGACCCUACAGAUGUGAUUAAGUUAAGGAUCAUAAAAUGGAAGAUUAUCCUGGAUUUAUUGGGUAGGACCAAUAUAAUCACAAUGGUGCUUAUAAGACAGAAGGUGGAAACAAAUGAGUCAUGGAAGGAGAUAUGACGAUGGAAGCAGAAAUCAGAGAAAUGCAGCCACUAGCCAAGAGAUGCAGGCAGGCCCUAGACAUUGGAAGAGGCAUUGAACAGAUUCUCUCCUAAUAGCCUCUAAAAAGAAUGCAACUCUGCAGAACCUCUGAUGAUUUUCGUGCUGUAAGAGCUAUUCUGAACUUCUGAUUUCCAGAACUGUUAAAACCUUAAAUGUACAUUAUUAUAUAAUAGUACAUUUGUGGAAAUUUGUUACAGCAUCAGCAGGAGUAUAGUACAAGACUUUAAUGAGAUACACUUUACUCCUAUCAAAUUGCUUUUUUUUCCCCCUAGGUAACACUAAAUGUUUAGUAAAGUUUAGUAAAAAUAGAACUAAUAUCCACCACUGAUAAAGUAUAAGCUGAAAUAUUUUCAGAAAGUAAGCAGCAUAGACAAAGGUCUAAAUCCUUAAAGUAAUUUUAAUACUUUGACCAGGUAACUAAAUUUCAGGAAUUUAAGAUGAGAAAAUAAUUAGAUAUGUGUAUAAAUACCUUUACACAGUGCUGUGCAUUCAAACAUUACAUAUGCUGAAACUAGAUUCACUUAAAUGGUUUGGAUAAACUUUACUGUAUCCAUGCAAAGAAAUAUAUUACACAGUUGUCAACUGCAUUAAAUGCCAAAGUAAAGAGUCAGACACCUAAGUUAUUGUAUAUUAUAGCUCUAAUGUUAUAAAAUAUAACUAUAAAUCAAUAUUUGUGAAAGAAAAAUAUUAAUAUGAAAUAUACUAAUAUAACUCAUUUUUGAAUGAGAUGUGUGAUGUGUCUUUUUGCCUUUACAUCGUCCUGAUAUUUUUUCAUUUUUUCAUGAAGGGUUAGUACAUUACUUCCAUAAUCAUAAAAAGUAAAUAUGAAAUGUAUAUUUAACAUGUUAUUAUGAGGAAACUCAAUAAAUAAAGCAUAUCAUCACUGUUAUGCUGGAAACGAAUGCUGUAAGCCCAGAAUCCUCACAGUAAGAUAGCAUCAUUCUGUUAACUGAUAGUUGGAAAGCUAUUGGCUGGUAUGUCUGUCAAUUCAAUUGUUAAUCUGUAUUCUGUAUAUUUUUUAAUAUUAAAAAUCAUUUUAAAAUGUAAACUCCAUUAUUGUUAUAAUUUUAAAAAUUAACUAAGGUGCCAGGAGUUGUGAAUCAUCACCACAGGGUUAACAAUAAGAAGUUAUAUGACUUUCAACUCUUUCCUUUAACCUUCUGGAAUACAAUUUUCUCACCUAAAAAACAAAGAUGUUUCAUUAGAUGAUUAGUCGAUUAAUUUAUGGUUUUCCAAUUGUGACUCUUGUAAGGAUCUAAAAUAUUUAUGCCGCACACCUCUUCUGAGAAGAAACUGUCGUUGCUCCAAUAUUCCUGCCUACAUCUAACAAUAUUCCCCGUAAAUUACUCUGUAAUCCUUUUUCACUCCUUACAUGCCUUCAUGUCUCUUCUAGUAGAUUAGAUAACGAUGUAUGUUCCACUCUGAGCAGGUAUAUUCAGACCUACCUAUAAAGGUCAAGGGAGCUGAGAGGCCAAAGAAAGGGACUGACAAAUCCAGUUUCUCAGAAAGAAACUGUCAGGCCUCUGAGCCCAAGCCAACCAUCCCAGC